rnacentral:rRNA from 1 species
UACGGAGGAUCCCAAGCGUUAUCCGGAUUUAUUGGGUUUAAAGGGUGCGUAGGCGGAUGAAUAGGUCAGUGGUGAAAGCCUGCAGCUUAACUGUAGAAUUGCCAUUGAUACUGUUUAUCUUGAAUGUAGUUGAGGUGGGCGGAAUAUGACAUGUAGUGGUGAAAUACUUAGAUAUGUCAUAGAACACCGAUUGCGAAGGCAGCUCACUAAGCUAUAAUUGACGCUGAGGCACGAAAGCGUGGGAGC